rnacentral:rRNA from 1 species
UACGUAGGGUCCGAGCGUUGUCCGGAAUUAUUGGGCGUAAAGAGCUCGUAGGCGGUCUGUCGCGUCGGCUGUGAAAACCCGGAGCUCAACUCCGGGCCUGCAGUCGAUACGGGCAAACUGGAGUACUGCAGGGGAGACUGGAAUUCCUGGUGUAGCGGUGAAAUGCGCAGAUAUCAGGAGGAACACCGGUGGCGAAGGCGGGUCUCUGGGCAGGUAACUGACGCUGGAGGAGCGA